CCUACGGGAGGCAGCAGUGGGGAAUAUUGGACAAUGGGGGGAACCCUGAUCCAGCGACGCCGCGUGAGUGAAGAAGUAUUUCGGUAUGUAAAGCUCUAUCAGCAGGGAAGAAAAUGACGGUACCUGACUAAGAAGCCGCGGCUAACUACGUGCCAGCAGCCGCGGUAAUACGUAGGGGGCAAGCGUUAUCCGGAUUUACUGGGUGUAAAGGGAGCGUAGACGGUGCAGCAAGUCUGAUGGGAAAGGUCGGGGCCCAACCCCGGGACUGCAUUGGAAACUGUUGAACUGGAGUGCAGGAGAGGUAAGCGGAAUUCGUAGUGUAGCGGUGAAAUGCGUAGAUAUCAGGAGGAACACCAGUGGCGAAGGCGGCUUACCGGACUGUAACUGACGUUGAGGCUCGAAAGCGUGGGGAGCAAACAGGAUUAGAUACCCGUGUAGUC
rnacentral:rRNA from 1 species